rnacentral:lncRNA from 1 species
CGAGGCCUCAGAAGUCCCUCCGGACCAGGGCAAGAAAGGGACAUUCCCUGAAUUGCCUCCCUUGCCCGGCUGCGUCCGUGCUACUUUUCUACAAGACCCGGGAUCCAGGAAGAAAUCAGGUGUCACCACCAAGAAGUCCAGUCAGCUGCCAGCAACCCCAGAGGGGUCUUCUACCAGAACGCAGCCCGGGAAAAAGAAAGAGGGAAAAUCCACUGCGAAAAGCAAAGCAAAGAAGAUGGGUCCUGCAAAGGCAGUGGAACCAAAGAGUUACACAGAAGAACACAGAGCAGUGAAAGUCCCCACUCAAGGAGGAGUGCCAGAAAAGGCACAAGCAAACCUCCAGAGCCAUAGUGGAGCCCCAUCCCCGGUGCAAACACCAAUAGCAUCUCUAUGGUGUCGGAGCUCUGAGACCAGCCUUCUCCAGGAGCCCAACGACAAUAAGUCUGGACAGCAUCCACCGGGAUCCACGUCACAAAAACUGCUCAAGUUAAGGGGUGAGAUGUCCAGGCCAGUGCUGGAAAAGCCUCACAAGACAGCUUGGCUGACAUCUCACUCUGAGUCCAGCCUGCCUGAGGAGCACACCAG